GCCAACAUUUAAAAAAAGAAACUAUUUGGAGUAGCAUUUAAGAAAUGCAAGAAACUACUAAAAAUCGUUAAAAAGUACUUAAAAACUUGUUUACUUGACUGUUAAAUAAACUUUUCAACAAAUAAAAAAUAAAAAAUUAAUUAAAAUAACUCGUGAAACGUAACCUUAAACACAUUGUACAGGCUCUUCCUCCUUUUAUUUGAUCAGCAUUCAAUACGUGAAGGGAAUAGAGCUGUUGACUCCUUCGCAAAGCAUCGCAUGUCCAUGCUGGAGGCUUCCUUUUCUAGUUUAUGUUGUCCUUCCUUUGUAAUUUGUUCCUUGUUGAGGAUUUAGAACAGGAUUGAUCCAAUGGGUCUAAAGCAGAUUUUAAAAAAAUAUAUUUUAUACUAAAUGAAAAAUUAUAUAUAAAACAUUUUUGUCAUAUGUAACAUUAUUUCUAAUAAAAAUGGUGUGUUUUGCUCUAUCAAAACUAAAAGUAAUUUUGUUGGUGGAUCCAAUUGUUUUAUUUAUCCUUGGUUGUUGCUUGGGGCAUCCAGUAUUUUUGCUGGGGCACCCAGUAUUUUUGCUGGGACACCCACCAACUCGAAAGAAAGGGCGAAAAUGUCAUUCACCCUUUCCUAUAAAAGACAAAUAGUGACUCGUCCGUACGAGUCACUAUUCAACUUUUUUUUUGUGCUCUUCCUCCUUCCUCCGUUCCGUGCCGUUCAUGGUUCCGCUGCUUUUGCCGUUCGUGGUGCGUUCAUGCUGCUGUUGCUGUCGUGACUGUGUUGUGUUGUUGCUGCUUCUUCCUUCUUCUUCUCCUUCAAGAAUGUCACGUUCUCGUGCGUCGUCAUCACGUUGGACCAGUCUCAAUGAGGAACUGAAACAACUUCUUGCGGAUGUGCCUAAGCACGGGGAAUGGAGGGAAUUGACAAACAUGAUGCAAAAUGUCGCGGCUCCACUAGAGGCUUUUUUCUAGACCGUUUACGUCAGAGACCAGAUUUUCAGUGAAGUUGGUAAGGUAUAUGCUGUCAAGUGGAAUGAUGUACUGGACAGUGUAUGGCAUUUGGUUGACAAAGAAGAAAAUUAUCAUAACGUUGUGUACAACAAAGAUUUGGACCAACCAGCCAUUGUAGCAGGAAGGACAACACUACAAGAUUUUUACCAGCUGACCGAAGAUUAUCCAGUCUCCUUAACUCAUUAUGGUAAUAAUGCAUUUUUUAUUACCAUAUUUAAGACCAGUUCCCUGCCCAAGUCAUUCCCAAGAUGACACUCUGUAUACCAUCAAGUGCCAGAUUCUAUCAUCUUCAAGGUUUAUCUCACUCAACAGAAAGUAACCUGUAGCAGUCUGGACGUUUCAAGUAGCAUGUAUUAUUUUCUUAAAGACAAAGGUUGAACUCAUUUGCACUUGGAGGAUGUUGCAGAAUGCCGGCUCGUGUUCAAUCAUUGGAGGAAGACACUUAAAAUUGGAGCCGGAUGGAAACAUUUAUGCGAGAUCUUGUUGUUAACUGCUGACAUGGAAAUAGUUUUUGAAUUCAUUGAUCCCAAUGUUAACCGUGUGCUUUAUUGGCAGUGUUUAUGAACAAUUUAGGAUUUUAAACAUUUUAAUUACUUCGA